rnacentral:lncRNA from 1 species
UUAUAAAUAAGGAUUCUGAGUAAGCCAAGGGCACCAGCAAGAUUACAAUCACUCCAUUGAACAAAAAACAGAAAGAAGUGAGCACAUGGGCUGUAUGAUAACCUCAUCUGAAGGCAACCACCAUCAUAUUCCCUUGGAUAAUCUGAUGCCCUAUUUACAGAGUAUUGGCAUGUUGAAUAUCAGCUUCAAGGGAUUUAAGUGAAUCUUUGAAAGACUUUCUCAUGACCCCCCCUUCCUUCCCCUGUUACAACCAAUUCCCAUCAACCAAACCAAAUCUUCUUCAACUUUUGCACCACCACUUUCACUUUCACCCCUCUAAAUCAAAUCUUUUUCAAUUCUACAAACCAAAUUCACCACUU